rnacentral:lncRNA from 1 species
AUAGAUUGUACUAGCCAACAAGAAAGUGCUUUUAAGGUGAAUGAUAGAGAAGUCGUUCUUACUCCAACCCUCACUCUUGGAGAGUGACAAUCAGUAAGAGGAGAAAAGAUUUCUGGGACUGUUUUGGUAGAGUUUGAAACCCCUUUGGCACCAAAGGAAGCAUCUAUUUGUAAUUCCUUUUCUUUCUUCGUGAUAUUUGUAAUCUUCGAAUCAUGUUUCACUUAAAAAUUUGUGCUUUUCAAUUUUAUAAAGCUUGAGAAGAAAUUUGUUGAAGCUGCUUAAGGGUUUUGGGUUGAGAAGAUAGUUUUUUUUUUUUAAUUAUAAAUAAAAUUAAGUAUCAAAAUAAAAGUUUAGUCGC